UUGGCAUGACCGACUGGGGUUAUAGGACAGCAACACUGUACAACAGAGACUAGAUGAAGUGUUUGGAAUGACACGCCAAAGAGAGUGAAAGCCUCGUAAUUAAAAAUCAAAGUUGGCAAGCUGAAUCCUGAGUAGCACGGUACACGAGAAAUUCCGUGUGAAUUCGCGAGGACCACCUCGUAAGGCUAAAUACUCACUUGUGACCGAUAGUGAACCAGUACCGCGAGGGAAAGGUGAAAAGAACCCCGGAAGGGGAGUGAAAUAGAACAUGAAACCGUGAGCUUACAAGCAAUGGGAGGACGAUUUAACGUCUGACCGUGUGCCUGUUGAAGAAUGAGCCGGCGACUUAUAGGCAGUGGCAGGUUAAGGGGAAAAUCCCGAAGCCAAAGCGAAAGCGAGUUUGAUAAGAGCGAUAGUCACUGUUUAUAGACCCGAACCCGGGUGAUCUAACCAUGGGCAGGAUGAAGCU
rnacentral:rRNA from 1 species